UGAGGAAUAUUGGUCAAUGGGCGCAGGCCUGAACCAGCCAAGUCGCGUGAGGGAGGACGGUCCUACGGAUUGUAAACCUCUUUUGUCGGGGAGUAACGUGCGGGACGCGUCCCGUAUUGAGAGUACCCGAAGAAAAAGCAUCGGCUAACUCCGUGCCAGCAGCCGCGGUAAUACGGAGGAUGCGAGCGUUAUCCGGAUUUAUUGGGUUUAAAGGGAGCGCAGGCGGCGAAGCAAGCCAGAGGUGAAAACCCGGGGCUCAACCCCGAGGAUUGCCUUUGGAACUGUUUUGCUUGAGUGCUGGAGGGGCAGGCGGAAUUCCUGGUGUAGCGGUGAAAUGCGUAGAUAUCAGGAGGAACACCGGUGGCGAAGGCGGCCUGCUGGACAGUAACUGACGCUGAGGCUCGAAAGCGUGGGGAGCAAACAGGAUUAGAUACCCUGGUAGU
rnacentral:rRNA from 1 species